rnacentral:rRNA from 1 species
AUUGAACACUGGCGGCAGGCCUAACACAUGCAAGUCGAGCGGAGCGUAGGACGGGUGAGUAAUGACUAGGAAUCUGCCUGGUAGUGGGGUAUAACGUCCGGAAACAGGCGCUAAUACCGCAUACUAUCAGAUGAGCCUAGGUCGGAGUAGCUAGUUGGUGGGGUAAAGGCCUACCAAGGCGACGAUGCGUAACUGGUCUGAGAGGAUGAUCAGCCACACUGGAACUGAGACACGGUCCAGACUCCUACGUGAGGCAGCAGUGGGGAAUAUUGGGCAAUGGGCGAAAGCCUGAUCCAGCCAUGCCGCGUGUGGGAAGAAGGUCUUCGGAUUGUAAAGCACUUUAAGUUGGGAGGCGGUACCAACAGAAUAAGCACCGGCUAACUUCGUGCCAGCAGCCGCGGUAAUUC